rnacentral:rRNA from 1 species
UACAGAGGGUGCAAGCGUUGUUCGGAAUUAUUGGGCGUAAAGGGCGCGUAGGCGGCAUAUUAAGUCAUCUGUGAAAUCUCCGAGCUUAACUCGGAACUGUCAGCUGAUACUGAUGUGCUAGAGUGCGGAAGGGGCAAUCGGAAUUCUUGGUGUAGCGGUGAAAUGCGUAGAUAUCAAGAGGAACACCUGAGGUGAAGACGGGUUGCUGGGCCGACACUGACGCUGAGUGCGCGAAAGCCAGGGGAGCAAACGGG